rnacentral:rRNA from 1 species
CCUACGGGAGGCAGCAGUUAGGGAUCUUGGGCAAUGGGCGAAAGCCUGACCCAGCGACGCCGCGUGGGCGAUGAAGGCCUUCGGGUCGUAAAGCCCUUUUCUGGGGGGAGAUAAUGACGGUACCCCAGGAAUAAGCCUCGGCUAACUAUGUGCCAGCAGCCGCGGUAAAACGUAGGAGGCAAGCGUUGUCCGGAUUCACUGGGCGUAAAGGGCGUGUAGGCGGCCCGGUAAGUUGGCUGUGAAAUCUCCCGGCUCAACUGGGAGGGGACAGUCAAUACUGCCAGGCUAGAGGGCAGCAGAGGGAGGCGGAAUUCCCGGAGUAGCGGUGAAAUGCGUAGAGAUCGGGAGGAACACCCGUGGCGAAAGCGGCCUCCUGGGCUGCUCCUGACGCUGAGGCGCGAAAGCGUGGGGAGCGAAC